CUGACAAAGUUUUUUGACUUGUUCCAACAUUAAUUCUCUAUAUAUUCCCCCACGCUUUACCACAUCUAUGUAUAUUGUAUAUUGUUUUCUUUUUCAACUUUUUAAUCAUGUUAUAUAUAUUUUAAUAUUUCUUGUUACAUGUUUUCUAAGAAAAAGCUGACCAUGAAGAAAAAUAAUAGAUAAUGUAGUGCAUUGUGUGUUUGGCUGAUUUAUUUUCUAGUGAACAUUGAAAUCUAAGUAUCUUACAGAUUGUUGGACAAAAAAAGGAAAAAAAAAUGUUAUAGAUCAAUGAAGAGAAUUUUUUGUAGUGCACUUUUUUUUUUAACAUUCUUAUCUUUUGUUAUUGCCUAUCGUUUUUUCGAAUAUUAGUUUCCAAUUUCCAAUCAUUUGAAUAUAUGAGUUUUAUUACGAAUCAAUGUCGAUUUUUUUUCUUAAACCUUGUCGUCUGAAUGAUAAAGAGGAGAAAUCUAUGUAAACAGACACUUCUAAAGAAAAUGUAUAAUGAAAAUAUGAAUUGUAAUUGUCUUAGAGAUAUGUGUACUUGUCCUCACUAUCCUAAGAAUGAAAACUAAAUCUUUAUAAGAAACUAGAAAUGCCUUUUUAGUUUAUAAAAUCUCAAAUUCAUUUAAGUUUAGAAAAUUGUUUUUUAUACAAUAUUUAUGAUUUUUUAAGAAAAUUAACUUUACAUUUUUUUUGGUAGAAAAGUUAACUUGUCUUUACAUAAACUCACGAACCCAAUUAUUAUAUGUAACGGCAAUGCAAAUUUAAACAUUUCGUCAACUACAAUCCAAAAUUCAAAUUAGCGUUAUAACUUUUUCGAAGUGGAAUUAAAUUAUAUUCAAACAAAAAAAAACGGUUUUACAAUACUACUAAAUGGACUCUUAAAAGAAGAUAAGAAAGAAAGCGUUUCUAGUGAGGUGUUGUCUUGGCUUUUAAGUAGUUUGACGUUAAACUGCAACCAUAGGCUUGAUUCAUUUGCUUGGUCGCCCAUUGAUCAACUUAAUGUGAGGCGAUUACUUGUAUUCUUAUCGUUGCGUUUGGCAAGGGGCAAAGGUGCCCGAGGAUUUUGAUUCUACCACUGAGCCCAUGCCAUAUCUGAUACAGAGUUAAUUAGAAUACUAACAGAAUAUGAAUCAUGAAUGUAGUGGGUUGAUAAAAAAAAACUGGUUAUGGUUGUGGAGAGAUUGAAUGAGUUGAUCACAUGACGUUGUAAUAGAUUUAAAAUGGCUGAGGGUUAGGUGACCCCAUAGUCCUGCAAUAAAAACACAAACAAAGAAUAGAUGACCUCUUAGCUCCGGAAAAAAACAUAAUAUGCAUCCACUUUACUGUUUCUGAUUCCAAUACGCAUUUAUCUUUUACCAUCGUCGUUUGCAUUCAAACCAAUGGCCGAAGAUAACUCAACUUGACCCAAGCUUUAGAUAUGUAAAUGACAUUUCAUUCAAUCCAAUGGCAAAAUAUUUGGUUUUAGAUACUUGGCUAAUCGUUUGGUAAAUUAUACUUUAAAAACCACAUCCGGAUUACAUAUUGGAUCACAGAGUUUAUCGGUUCGACCGCUGAUCCAGUAAAUAAAAGCACUGAUUUAAAUGCAAAUAUUUUUUUUAACAUAAAAAUUCUUUCAAAUUAAUAAAACAUCUGUAAAAUUGUUAAUACAAUUUUUCACCACAAAAUAUUCUGCGUUUUGAAAGUAUGGAUCAAAAUUAAAAUCUAUUUUCACUAUAGUUUUUUAAAAUAUUUUAAACUAAUAAAUAAUGUAAUAUUUUAAUUAUGGUCAUUCUUGGUUACUAUCAUAUGGAUCAUGAUUGUUUUUUUUGUUAAUUUAUCUAUAUGGUAAAGUAGAUUUAUUUUAAAGUUAAAAAUAUUACUAUUUUAGUUUAUGUGAAUAUCUUAUAAUAAAAUCUUUAAAAUUUUGUAUUAUAAUGUAUAUAUUAAUAUUUAUUGUGCAAUAUUUUCUAUUUUAUAUUUAUUUAUAAAAUUAGAUUUAUCUAAAUUUAUUUUCACUGUAGUAAUUAUAUAUAUAUAUAAAUAUAUAUAUAUGAAAAUUCAUAAGUAAUUAAGCAUCUAGUUGUCAUUCUAUCUACCAUUUUAGUUGAAACAUAAAUAUAAUUUUGUUACCAUUAAUUGAUUGUAUGAUGUUAUGCAUGACAUUAUAAAUGAAGUGUUUUGCUUACAAUAUAUUUUCAAUUUUUCUCUUUGAAAUUUUAUGUCUUCUUUAUUUUAAUAAUUUUUAUUUAUAUAUCCCAUAUUUGUUAAAUGCAGUAUAUACUCAUGUAUUAAAUUAUUAUUUAAUAUAAUUUAUUGUUAAUGUUUUUAGUUUGCUUAGGUUAAACUCGAUUUGAAAUUAUGUUUCGAGUGAGGAAGAUAAACUCGAUUUGGAAUUUUUCUUAAAUGAAAUGUUUUUUUCAAAAAAUGGCGUUGUAUUGGGUAUAAGGAAUGUUACUCGAGUUUAAGUCUUGACUUAUUCGAGUUUUUUAAAUGGCCGAGUCAACAAAAAAUGAAAUUUAAAACGGCAAAUAUCUAAAAAUUGAGAACUAUUUUGGCUCAAACAUGAGUUGGAGGUUUUUUGGCUUUAAUUUUAAAAUUUAGGAUUUUAAUGGCUAUUUCCUCUAAUUAUGUAUGAUUUUUAUUUUUACAAUAUUUAAUGAUUUAUUUUAGUAUUUAACUUUGAGAAAAUCAUCAACCUAAUCAUGCUAUGUAACGGCAAUGCAAACAAACAAUAUCAGUUAUCUAAAAUACAAAAUUUGAACUAGCAUUACAGUUUUGAAUGAAUAUUAAACUAUAUUCAAACAUAAAACUGUUUUAAAAUACUAGUUUAUAUGAAUGUUUAAAA